rnacentral:lncRNA from 1 species
AGUUUACAAACAACAACAUACCCAGUGUAUUCCCAUACAGUGGGGUCUGGGGAGAAUAAAGUGUACACAGACCAUAUCGUUACCUCCGAUGAAGUAGAGAGGCUGUUUCUGAUAGACCCCCUGCUCAGGACAGAUAAACAGUAUAAAAAGACGUAGUGAAAAGAACAACAUAGAAUAGCACACCAAUAGAGAAAAUCAGAAACAAGACACUGGCAGAGUAAUACUAUAAACUAUCUAUCGGAAAAUAACAAACAUUAUCAGAACACCAUGAACAAGAAACUGUGAGACGCGCACAUAGCACUACGACAACUGGCACGACUACAACAAAGCAACCCUAUCUACUAACAAGAACUCAUUCCAACCUAUUAACCCUCUACCCUAAUUGCAUCCUCCACACCUUUCUAGCUAGGGUUAUGUCCUCAGUCUGCCCCAUGUCAUGUCUAAUCACCUUCCUCCAAUACUUCUUCGGCCUACCUCUACCCCGCCUGAAAUCAUCCAUAGCCAACCUCUCACCUUAAUUCCACUUUUAGGAUUGAAUAACUCCUGAUAGUUUAUCUUGUGACCCCAUCUUAUUAUCUAGUAGCUCCCAAUUCCUUCUCAAAGAAAAAAGUAACUCCCAAUUGUUGUUCAUCCAAUUGUACGCCCUUACUCUCGGUAGCACACCUUCCCUAAUCUCUUCCUUUGCCCUUACUUUCAUAGAAAAUCUAAUAUGCCAAAUAAAAGAAAUUGACAAUAACACCUCUUACAAAUCGCUUCUGGAGGGAUGAGAGAACCCCUCUUGUCUGAUUGACCAGAUUCACUUCCACAUACUGGUCCUUUUGUUCAUCAAGAAAAUGUGCGAAGGAUUAUGCUUAUACACCAUCCUGAAUCUGAAAUCACCAGAAUCCCAUGUAUCCAUAGUAAACGGAAAAAUAUCUAGAUCCUCUUCCAAGCUUGAUAUGUUCUUAUCACUAGAGGAUUGCUCCUCAUAACUUUCUUUUCCUUCAGCAUUUUUGGAAAAGCUCCCUUCUUUAAUAUGGACAUGACUCUUAACUUCUUCGGCAGGGUGUGUCUUCAGAUACUAGAUGGCCCUUCUACUGAAGUUCAAGAAAUUAUAGAGGAAUUCCUUAGGAAGUGGAGAUAUGUCGAUGGGAAGUAUUAUACUGUUGCAAGCAUGGAAGCUGAUGUACCUGACAUGGAAGAAUUUAGCAAUCAAAUUUCCCUUGGAGUUGAUACGUACCUGGAAAUUAUUGAGCUCUAUGUGAUAACCUUUUUGGGGAGGAUUCUAGGAAAUUUGGAUCUUGCUAUCUCUUGGGUUGAGAAAUCCCCUCUACCUGAGGAGAAGAGGCAGGUAAAUAAUCUUUCUUGCUUCAUAAUCAAAUGAUGGUCUCAUGUGUAUCUUUUUUCCUUUUGUGCCCCA